CCUACGGGAGGCAGCAGUGGGGAAUAUUGCACAAUGGGGGGAACCCUGAUGCAGCGACGCCGCGUGGGUGAGGAAGUACUUCGGUAUGUAAAGCCCUAUCAGCAGGGAAGAAAAUGACGGUACCUGACUAAGAAGCCCCGGCUAACUACGUGCCAGCAGCCGCGGUAAUACGUAGGGGGCAAGCGUUAUCCGGAUUUACUGGGUGUAAAGGGAGCGUAGACGGCGUGCCAAGUCUGAUGUGAAAGGCCGGGGCUCAACCCCGGGACUGCAUUGGAAACUGGCAUGCUGGAGUGCCGGAGGGGCAAGCGGAAUUCCUAGUGUAGCGGUGAAAUGCGUAGAUAUUAGGAGGAACACCGAUUGCGAAGGCAGCUUGCUGCAGCGGAACUGACGCUGAUGCUCGAAAGCGCGGGUAUCGAACAGGAUUAGAUACCCCAGUAGUC
rnacentral:rRNA from 1 species